AGUGAACGCUGGCGGCAGGCCUAACACAUGCAAGUCGAGCGGCAGCGCGUCCGACCACCCUCGGGUGGUCGGAUGGCGGCGAGCGGCGGACGGGUGAGGAAUGCAUCGGAAUCUGCCUCGUUGUGGGGGAUAGCGUAGGGAAACUUACGCUAAUACCGCAUACGACCUACGGGUGAAAGUGGGGGACCUUCGGGCCUCACGCGAUGAGAUGAGCCGAUGCCGGAUUAGCUAGUUGGCGGGGUAAAGGCCCACCAAGGCGACGAUCCGUAGCUGGUCUGAGAGGAUGAUCAGCCACACUGGAACUGAGACACGGUCCAGACUCCUACGGGAGGCAGCAGUGGGGAAUAUUGGACAAUGGGGGCAACCCUGAUCCAGCCAUGCCGCGUGUGUGAAGAAGGCCUGCGGGUUGUAAAGCACUUUCAGUAGGGAGGAACAGUAGCCGGUUAAUAUCCGGUUGCCUUGACGUUACCUACAGAAGAAGCA
rnacentral:rRNA from 1 species